GGCGAGGGUGUUCUGUGCGACUCAUGAUCCACUCCGACUCCAUUCCGAAUUCGGUUGUGAAAAUGGUCAGCGGCGAUGAUACUUGGGGAGACAUCCCCUGGGAAAGUAGCUCAAUGCCCUCG
rnacentral:rRNA from 1 species